UUCCGUGUUGAUUGGGAUUUACAGAAAAAAUGUGCUUUGUUUAUAUGUUCCACACACUUUCAUCCAUCUGAAUUUGUUUGUGCGUGUGGCUUUUUCCGGAUUUGAACGGACACCAUCUUUUGGAGAGAAAAAAAAAGCAACCCAAGAUCUACUAAAGAGGGGCAAGGCGAAGAGGCAGUUCGUGAGCAGGCAAGAUGUCGGGGGCAGGGGCGAGGCAGCGCGGUCUGGUUCUGAGCAGGGAGGUCAUGGAUCGAGGAAGGCAGUUAAGAAUCCGGAUGGAUGUCGAGAGGCAAGGUGUGUUGAUACUUGACAGGCUGCAGGCUUGUUGCUGCUUGGGCGUGCUGCACUCAGCACGAGUGAGGGCGAGUCUGAGUGCACUGUCAGCAGAGGCCACUCUUGGCGCACUGCUAGCGGAGGCGCACGCAGCUCCAGCCGCCGAGGAAACGCCGGUUCCACUCCGCGUCGUGACACGUUGACCUUCUAGAAACUUAAACUGCAGCUCAGCUCACUCGCAGUUCUGGCUUGAGGUGAAGGCUAAUAAGCUUUUAGUGUAACGUUAGUGUAGUGAGUCUUAUUCUGCGUUGUGUAGUGUUUUAAGUAAGAGACACUCCACCAUUCCGUCGUUUCAUCAUUUCUUGGCCACCUUUGUUGGAAACACGAAACACAUACACAGGUCUCUACUUUCUGGCGAAGUGAUACCUCAUCAUCA